UUAUUUCACCUUAAAUAACGGUUGGCCAUACUCUACCAUUUGUCCGUCUUCUACUAAGAUUUCAACAAUUUCACCUGAAAUUUCUGCUUGAAUUUCAUUAAAUAGUUUCAUUGCCUCUAAAAUACACACUGUUGUUUCAUUUGAAACAGUGUCCCCAACUUGCACAUAUGCUUCUUCGUCUGGAGAUGGCGAUUUGUAAAAUGUACCUACCAUAGGUGCAUUAAUUGUUUUGUGAUUAUCUGAAGUUGGCUUUGGAGCUUCAGUU
rnacentral:sRNA from 1 species